CACAAACAUGCAUAUACAUAGGACAAUAAACCAUUCUUUGUUUGAAUAAAUUGACAAAACCUUUAAAAAAAUUAAUGAUAUCAAAAGAAAAAUACAAUUACUCUUUGUAAGUCAUUUUAAAGAUAGAUACAGAUCAUUCCCAGAAUGCAAGGAUAACUCAUUAUGAGAUUAUGAUCAUCCCAAAGGAAGGGAAAUAUGUCACCAUCUCUUUUUAAAAAGAAGUGCAUUGAAGUUGUACAUAAUAGUGGGAUUUAUUUUCACAAUUCACAAAUGCAUAUAGCAUGGUUUUCUGCUUUUCAAUGGGUAAUACCAUCCUCUUCCCUCUCCUUGUUUCCCUUCCUCUACUCUAUUGGUCUUUAUUGUAUGUAUUUAUUUUUACUUGCUGCAUUAUAUGUUUAUAUAAAAUUGGAAUACAUUGAUAUAUUCAUACAUGCACCUAGUAUAAUUUGGUCAACAUCAUUCCCCAGUUCUUCCCCUCUCUCCCCCUUCCUAUAUUCCUCUUGGAUCUCCAGCUUCUAUUCUACUCAUAUCUCUUCUAUAUUCAUCCGAUCCCCUUUUUUAAAAUUCCUUUUAUCUUUCUAAUUUCCACACAUGAGAGAAAAUGUUCAGCCUUUGAUAUUCUGCAUCUGUCUUAUUUCACUUCAUGUGAUGGUCUUCAGUUCUACCCAUUUACACCUUCUUUGUGGCUGAGCAUAUAUCUAUUGUGUAUAUAUGCCACUUUUUCUGUAUUCAUUUGUCUUGAUGAGCACCCACACUAGUUCCAUUGCUUGGCUGUUUUGUAUUGUGUUGCUAUAAACAUUGGUAUGCAUGUGUCACUACAUUAUGUCGAUUUUAGUUGUUUUUUUGGGGGGAGGCUCAAUAACAAAGAGUGGGAUAGAUAAUAGGUGGCUGAGUCAUUUGGUAGUUGCAUUCCCUUUGAGGAAUCUCCAUACUACUUUUCAAAGUGGCUGUGAUAAUUUAUACUCCCACCAACAAUUAAUAAAUGUACCCUUUUCCCCAUAUCCUCACC
rnacentral:lncRNA from 1 species